rnacentral:lncRNA from 1 species
AUACAGUAAUGAUAUACAGCAGUAGACUAUAGGUACAGUAAUGAUAUACAGCAGUAGACUAUAGAUACAGUAAUGAUAUACAGCAGCAGUAGACUAUAGAUACAGUAAUGAUAUACAGCAGUAGACUAUAGAUACAGUAAUGAUAUACAGCAGCAGUAGACUAUAGAUACAGUAAUGAUAUACAGCAGCAGUAGACUAUAGAUACAGUAAUGAUAUACAGCAGUAGACUAUAGAUACAGUAAUGAUAUACAGCAGCAGUAGACUAUAGAUACAGUAAUGAUAUACAGCAGCAGUAGACUAUAGAUACAGUAAUGAUAUACAGCAGUAGACUAUAGAUACAGUAAUGAUAUACAGCAGCAGUAGACUAUAGGUACAGUAAUGAUAUACAGCAGCAGUAGACUAUAGAUACAGUAAUGAUAUACAGCAGUAGACUAUAGAUACAGUAAUGAUAUACAGCAGUAGACUAUAGAUACAGUAAUGAUAUACAGCAGCAGUAGACUAUAGAUACAGUAAUGAUAUACAGCAGGCAGGCAGUCAGACACCUCACCACAGAGAUCUGUCAGAGCUGCCGAACCAUUGAUCUCA